GCACCUGUAGCUCAUUUGGAUAGAGCGCAGCCCUCCGGAGGCUGAGGUAGCAGGUUCGACUCCUGCCAGGUGCGCCA
rnacentral:tRNA from 1 species